GGUGGGUGUUACUUGAACGCAUGGAGCAGCCUUUUUAAUGGAGCUUUUAAUUCGGGGCGAAAUUUCUGGAAACCCAUCCUUUACCGUCUCAAUCACUUCAAAGUUCGAGGGUCUCUGAAGCGUUGAGAAAAAGCACAAACUCAACAGGCACAUUCAAGAGAUGGAAAGAAAAAGCCUCUGCUGAAGGAGGGACCAGAUUGUAUCAAUUGUCGGGAAAGCUAACCCACAGGAGGAGGUGACUCAGGAAGCCGGCAGCCCCACCACAGCCUGGGUUCAGGUCCUGAGGAGGGACAAGAGUGUCGACACGGAGAAAUGAAUUGUAUGAUCACCAGAUGAGUUUCACACAAAUUGCUGGCCAGAAAAGCUCCAGCCAUCUUUAUUUAUGCAUCAAAAACAAGCAUGUCUUUCCAUUCUAACAAACAAGUUUUUCCCAUCUUCCAACGUUAAUCUCCAGCAAAAACAAAUAUGUCAAUUAUGGUUUCUUUACCCAGCUUUUGCAUCAAAACAUCUUUAAUCCAAAACAACACUUAUCAUUUUGAUAGCUGGACCACAUAAGAAGCUGGGUACAUCCUGUCUUUACAAAAGGUGAAUGACAUAAGCACACAUUUUCCAGAACAAUAGUCUUAUUCAAAAUAUAUUUACAGAAGUAGGAGUGAUCUGCCUCCGAUCCUGUCAGUACUGAAUUAGAGCACCUCCCAGGAUCUGAAGUGACAGCUGACAUCCCCAGACAAGAAACCUGAGAAACAUCAGCUUCCAAAGAAUUGUAUGGGAAAAUAUUUGAGAAAAAAAAUGAGGUUUUCUGGAAUGAUCACAGCUGUUCCAUGCAUGACUGACAAAAUGAAAUCAAAACUACCAAAAGAAUCAACAAUAUUACAAGAGAGAAGACAGCAUCCAGGCCUCAAGGUCCCAGCAGUAUUCUGUGCUCUCCUGAAGUCCACUGGUUCUUGACAAGUGAGACUGUCUCCAUGGGGUUUUGCCUCAUCUGGAGAUCCGUUGGACAAGCACUCACAUACUGGUCUGAAACCAGACAGAAUGGCUCCUAGAUAGACGGAACAGCUCCCAACAGGUCUGCUUGUCUUACUUUCCUGUUUCUUCAGGAUUCAAUUGUGGCCCGGUGUGGUGGUGUACCCCUUUGAUCUGAGCACUUCGAAGGCAGAGGCAGGUGGAU